GGUGGCUCAGUGGUAGAGCACUCGCCUUGCAUGCAUGAGGCCCUGGGUUCAAUUCCUCAGCACCA
rnacentral:tRNA from 1 species